UGAUCCACACCAGUCUGGCCCAUCAGGGUAGCAUGUACCAAAGCUAUUGAGAGUGCCGAAGUGAAUAAAAUGCUAAUCCUCAUCAAUAGAUUAAACUGAGAAAUGCUUAAACCAGAGAUCUGCCUGCAAUAAAAGCAAUUGAGUCGUUUCUUUGUAAUUUGACUGCUCACAUGAGCCCAGGAACCUGUCUUAUAGCUUUACAAAUCUGUGAUAAUUUCCUUCAACUUUUCCAUUUUAUUGCCGCCAUUAAAAUCCCGUUGUGUUCUUAAAACAGAAAAAAAAAAAAAAUGAUUAAAACAGAUGUGGCUCUUAAAGUUACAAUAUGAAUUUUACAACCCCGGGUUUUAUGAUACUGAGAGAAAUUUCAGCCACCAGGGUCAAAGGCAAGAAAAAUGGGACCGGAUUUCUGAAAUGGGUCUGGGGAGGGGGACAGAGUGGGGGCGCGGGGUUCAGAAUGACAAAGGCAGCCAAAGGAGCUAAUUUCCUGACGUUUACUUCUCGCUCCAAACCCUGGGGACCCACUGCAGAAAGUCACGUUUGCAACUCUCUCUCUGCUCAGUCUCCGCAGCUACUGAGGUUGGACUAAACCACUUUCCCUCGCUCCGGCCUCCCUGCCAACCCCUUCUCCCCAAGUCAAGCUUUCCACUUAAAUAGUCUGCAAAUGGUUGGUCCUUGUUCUGUUUAUUGAGGCAGCGUGUUGUCCUAAAAGGGGCAUUGAGAUCCACGCUGCGGUAUCCCAUCGUCAACGGUGUGACUUGGGCAAAUCACUGAAAACUCCGUACCUCAGUUUCUUUGUCCACGAAACCCAGGACCUGUACCAGAUCCACAGUGUCUCUCAUUAGCUCUGCGGGUCCCUGACCUCAUCUGCAGAAACUCGGUGCCUGGCACAAAGCAAAACAAACAAAAAACAAACAAACAAAAACCAUUCAGAAUGGUUGUUGCCUGAAGAAUUAAUACAUUCCUAAAUUCUUCUCUAUCUCCCCUUUUAGAAAAAUGAAGGGAUUGACUUCUACUAACAUACAAUCAAAAACAGAAUAAAUAGGAGUUCCCGUCGUGGCUCAGUGGUUAACAAAUCUAACUAGGAACCAUGAGGUUUCGGGUUCGAUCCCUGGCCUCGAUCAGUGGGUUAAGGAUCUGGCAUUGCCAUGAGCUGUUGUGUAGGUUGCAGACGUGGCUCAGAUCCGGAGUGGCUGUGGCUCUGGCGUAGGCUGGCGCCUGCAUCUCCGAUUACACCCCUAGCUUGGGAACCUCCAUAUGCCACGGGUGCGGCCCUAGAAAAGGCAAAAAGACCAAAAAAAAAAAAGGUAGAAAAAAAUAAAUAAAUUCAAAAAUAGUAAAAGCUCCCAUAGCAUCUUUUUUUUAAUCAUCUGUAAUCAGUCAUGUAAAAUGUGAGGAAAAAAAACCACUAAUCAACUCUCUAUGUAAACUGAAUCGCUGUACUGAAUACCUGAAACAUUGCAAAUCUACUAAAAUAAUUUUUUAUAAAAACUUACGUGCUACGUCAUUCCAAAUUUAUGGCUAAAAACAUAGAAAAUAGGAGUUCCCAUUGUGGCUCAGCAUUUAACAAACCCAACUAGUAUCCUUGAGGAUGUGGGUUCGAUUCCUGGCCUUGUUCAGUGGGUUAAGGAUCGGGCAUUGUGUGAGCUGUUGUGAAGGUGGAAGACGCAGCUCAGAUCCCAUGUUGCUGUGGCUGUGGUGUAGGCCGGCAGCUACAGUUCCGAUUUGAUCCCUAGUCUGGGAAUCUCUAUGUGCCAUGGGUGCAGCCCUAAAAACAAAGACAAAAAGAAGAAAGAAAGAAAAUAACUGAAAGAAAAACACCGAAAUGUUAAACAGAAGUAUCUCUGAUUGAGAAGAGUACAUAUUUCUAUUUUCUUCUUUACAUAAUUGAAUGCUGGUUUCACUCCAUCUCUUCUUCAGGUCUCUGCUCAAACAUGCCUGCAUCCUCAAGAGCUUCCCUGACCAGCUUAUGUAAAGCAGCAGACAUCUGCCCCAAAUAUCUCGUCGCUCUUUCUCCCUUAUCUUGUCUUAUUUUCCUCCCUUGCUGGAUAUUUUCACGUAUGUUCAACUCCGUAGUCACUUUCUAUGCCCCACAUCUUGAUGUCAGGUCCGUGAGGGCUCUCUUCCCAGCACCUAAACUAUGCCUGGUAUAUAACAGGCCCAAACAACAUGCAUGGUGAUUUGAAUGGGUGAAUGACAUAUGCAAAUAUGUGUAUACAAGAAUAAUCUAUUGCCGUGUUGUUUAUAAUAGCGAAAUUUCAGUUAGAUAUAACACAGUAUAUUUUCAUGUAUAUUUGUCAUUCUGUAAAUACCCUUGUCUAUUUUAUUACCAAAAUAUUUUAUUUUUUACUUGUCAAUUUUUAGGAGCUCUUUGUAGAUUAGGAAUAUUAUAUCUUUGCUUGUGGUUUUCGUUGUGAAUCUCUCUCCUGCUAUCUUGAGUAUGCAGAAGUAUUCUUUCAAGUAUUCUUCUUUUUUUUUCCUUUUUUGCCCACCCCGAGGCAUACAGAGCUCCUGGACAUAUGCUGCAGCUAAGGUGACAGCAUUCUUUUCCUGGGCCAGGGGUCUAAUCAGAGCCACAGCUGCCGGCCUUCGCCACAGCUGUCGGCCUACGCCACAGCCGCAGCAACGGCAGAUCCAAGCCAUGUCUGCAACCUACACCACAGCUCAUGGAAACACCAGAUCCUUAACCCACUGAGUGAGGCCAGGGAUCGAAACCGCAACUUUGUGGUUCCUAGUCGUUUUCGCUUCCUCUGUGCCACGAGGGGAACUCCCAGAAGAUUCUUAAAUUAACCCACUGUCGGGGGCAGGGGAGAGGGGGUGGUUGUGGAAGGAGAGGAUUGAACCUGUGUCCAGGCUCCAGAGAUGCCGCCAAUCCCGUUGCACCACAGGGGGAACUCUUCGAGUAUUAUUCAAACGUUAUUGUUAUAUUCCUACAUUUGGAUAUUGGAUCCACCUAGAAUUGAUUCGUAUGAGAUAGAAUCUAACCUACCUUCUUAUAAAUGGGCAGCCUCUUAUGGCAGUACCAUUUUAAAAUAAAACAUGCUGUUUCUACUGAAUUGAAAUGCCACCUAUAAUAUAUAUACAUAUAUUUUUUUCCAUAUAUACUUAGAUUAAUUUCUGGAAUUUCUACAAGGUCCUACAAAUCUAUUUCUUAUUCUUAUUUUUUUUUUUUACACUAGAUUUCUAGUAAUAG
rnacentral:lncRNA from 1 species